rnacentral:rRNA from 2 species
GGAUGUUAGCGGCGGACGGGUGAGUAACACGUGGGUAACCUGCCUGUAAGACUGGGAUAACUCCGGGAAACCGGAGCUAAUACCGGAUAGUUCCUUGAACCGCAUGGUUCAAGGAUGAAAGACGGUUUCGGCUGUCACUUACAGAUGGACCCGCGGCGCAUUAGCUAGUUGGUGGGGUAAUGGCUCACCAAGGCGACGAUGCGUAGCCAACCUGAGAGGGUGAUCGGCCACACUGGGACUGAGACACGGCCCAGACUCCUACGGGAGGCAGCAGUAGGGAAUCUUCCGCAAUGGACGAAAGUCUGACGGAGCAACGCCCCGUGAGUGAUGAAGGUUUUCGGAUCGUAGAGCUCUGUUGUUAGGGAAGAACAAGUGCGAGAGUAACUGCUCGCACCUUGACGGUACCUAACCAGAAAGCCACGGCUAACUACGUGCCAGCAGCCGCGGUAAUACGUAGGUGGCAAGCGUUGUCCGGAAUUAUUGGGCGUAAAGGGCUCGCAGGCGGUUUCUUAAGUCUGAUGUGAAAGCCCCCGGCUCAACCGGGGAGGGUCAUUGGAAACUGGGAAACUUGAGUGCAGAAGAGGAGAGUGGAAUUCCACGUGUAGCGGUGAAAUGCGUAGAGAUGUGGAGGAACACCAGUGGCGAAUGCGACUCUCUGGUCUGUAACUGACGCUCAGGAGCGAAAGCGUGGGGAGCGAACAGGAUUAGAUACCCUGGUAGUCCACGCCGUAAACGAUAAGUGCUAAGUGUUAGGGGGUUUCCGCCCCUUAGUGCUGCAGCUAAAGCAUUAAGCACUCCGCCGGGGGAGUACGGUCGCAAGACUGAAACUCAUAGGAAUUGACGGGGGCCC